rnacentral:rRNA from 1 species
CCUACGGGGUGCAGCAGUGAGGAAUAUUGGUCAAUGGACGAGAGUCUGAACCAGCCAAGUAGCGUGAAGGAUGACUGCCCUAUGGGUUGUAAACUUCUUUUAUAAAGGAAUAAAACGAGGCACGUGUGCCUUUUUGCAUGUACUUUAUGAAUAAGGAUCGGCUAACUCCGUGCCAGCAGCCGCGGUAAUACGGAGGAUCCGAGCGUUAUCCGGAUUUAUUGGGUUUAAAGGGAGCGUAGAUGGGUUGUUAAGUCAGUUGUGAAAGUUUGCGGCUCAACCGUAAAAUUGCAAUUGAUACUGGCAGUCGUGAGUACAGUUGAGGUAAGCGGAAUUCGUGGUGUAGCGGUGAAAUGCUUAGAUAUCACGAAGAACCCCGAUUGCGAAGGCAGCUUACUAAACUGUGACUGACAUUGAUGCUCGAAAGUGUGGGUAUCAAACAGGAUUAGAUACCUUAGUAGUC